CAGCGACUGUUGAUCCGAGUCAAUAUGAAUAGGCUGUUCGGUAUCGCCCGUGACGGCGAAAGCCGGAAUGCUGGCGGCCAGCAGCGAGCCGGCAAGCAUAAGAUUAAGGCUGAGUUUGUU
rnacentral:rRNA from 1 species